rnacentral:lncRNA from 1 species
CUGAAGGGUACUGUGAAUGCUUUGUGCUUGGUGCAAUCUGAAAAGGUGCUACUGAUGCUGCUUGAAAGCUCAAGUUUCUUGGCAAUGUAAUGACAGUCACAGCCUGAUGAAAAUGUGCAUUUCGGAUGGUUUUCCCUUGUGAACUUGUCUAAGUUCCACAUCACCUUUUGAAAAAAAAUGAGUGGAGCUUCCUGAAUAUACCACAACCACACAAAAGCUGCGCCUGAUGGCCUCUGAUCUGAAAACACUGCAGCAGGAAAUCUCCUCUAGAGAUUUAUUUGACAGAAUGAGUUGACAUGGGCAACUCAGAAACUUGUCCAACAAAGAAACCC